CACGUAGGCGGAUGUGUCAGUCAGGGGUGAAAUCCCGGAGCUCAACUCCGGAACUGCCUCUGAUACAGCACGUCUUGAGUUCGAGAGAGGUGGGUGGAAUUCCUAGUGUAGAGGUGAAAUUCGUAGAUAUUAGGAAGAACACCGGUGGCGAAGGCGGCCCACUGGCUCGAUACUGACGCUGAGGUGCGAAAGCGUGGGAGCAAACA
rnacentral:rRNA from 1 species